GUUGAAAAAAAGUAAUAAAAUUCACGCAUGCGCUAACAACGUAGUCAGCAGACAAACUCAGGAGCCAAAAACUCCAGUCAUAUAAAUCUUCAGCACCUGAGCAGCUCGAGGAUGAGAUAAAAAAAAAAAAUUAAAAAAAAUGAACCUACCAUGGAGAAGUGCUACCCUUCUUCACAGAAAAGUGAGCUCCAGACUUCAAUCAGUCAUUGCUGCAAAGAACAGAGGCGGAGGCUUCAAAUCAGAACAUCUUGUCAACACUUGUGUGAUGUUCUGCCCUUCGUCAACGGUCAGUUAGACAUAGCAACCACACUAGAGCUCACCGCGAAUUAUAUAAGCUAUUUGAAAGAGACUCUUCCUCCAGGUAUUCUGUCUAAAGUUGAGUGGUUGAGAUGAAUUCCAGCAUUUUCUGGAAAAGCAUACAGAGAUCACAAAAGAAAAG